rnacentral:rRNA from 1 species
GACGUAGGUGGCGAACGUUAUCCGGAAUUAUUGGGCGUAAAGGGUGCGUAGGCGGCAUGAUAAGUUAUUGGCGGGAAAUCGAGGCUCAACCUCGUGGAAACUAAUAAUACUGUUUUGCUUGAGUACAGGAGAGGUUAACGGAACUCCAUGUGGAGCGGUAAAAUGUGUAGAUAUAUGGAAGAACAUCAAUAAUGGCGAAGGCAGUUAACUAUUCUGUUACUGACGUUGAGGCACGAAAGCGUGGGGAGCAAAACGG